rnacentral:pre_miRNA from 1 species
GGUGGCGUGGAGGAGUUCGGGAUAGCCCUUUCGUGUGAGUGUUCCGUCUCCUCCACAUCUUCCU